GAGCGAAGCACUUUUUUAGAACUCUUCUGGAGGGAAGAGAGGGUGACUUCCCGUCGGACGGGUGAGUAACGCGUGGGCAACCUGCCUUACACAGGGGGAUAACAAUUAGAAAUGAUUGCUAAUACCGCAUAAGACCCCAGUACCGCAUGGUACAGGGGUAAAAACUGAGGUGGUGUAAGAUGGGCCCGCGUCUGAUUAGGUAGUUGGUGGGGUAGAAGCCUACCAAGCCGACGAUCAGUAGCCGACCUGAGAGGGCGACCGGCCACAUUGGGACUGAGACACGGCCCAAACUCCUACGGGAGGCAGCAGUGGGGAAUAUUGCACAAUGGGGGAAACCCUGAUGCAGCGACGCCGCGUGAGUGAGGAAGUAUUUCGGUAUGUAAAGCUCUAUCAGCAGGGAAGAAAAUGACGGUACCUGACUAAGAAGCCCCGGCUAACUACGUGCCAGCAGCCGCGGUAAUACGUAGGGGGCAAGCGUUAUCCGGAUUUACUGGGUGUAAAGGGAGCGUAGACGGAAUUGCAAGUCUGAUGUGAAAAUCCGGGGCCCAACCCCGGAACUGCAUUGGAAACUGUAUUUCUAGAGUGUCGGAGAGGCAAGUGGAAUUCCUGGUGUAGCGGUGAAAUGCGUAGAUAUCAGGAGGAACACCAGUGGCGAAGGCGGCUUGCUGGACGAUGACUGACGUUGAGGCUCGAAAGCG
rnacentral:rRNA from 1 species